rnacentral:rRNA from 1 species
AGUUAAACAUCUAGCGAAUACAAGUAAACUAAAAACUUAAAAUUUUUUAUUUUUAUCAAAAGCUACCACAAGCUAAACAAAUCAUUUUUAAACCUAAGUACGGGCGACGGAAAGG